rnacentral:rRNA from 1 species
AACGAACGCUGGCGGCAUGCCUAACACAUGCAAGUCGAACGAGACCUUCGGGUCUAGUGGCGCACGGGUGCGUAACGCGUGGGAACCUGCCCUUAGGUUCGGAAUAACUCCCCGAAAGGGGUGCUAAUACCGGAUAAUGUCUUCGGACCAAAGAUUUAUCGCAUUUGGAUGGGCCCGCGUUGGAUUAGAUAGUUGGUAGGGUAAAAGCCUACCAAGGCGACGAUCCAUAGCUGUUCUGAGAGGAUGAUCAGCCACACUGGGACUGAGACACGGCCCAGACUCCUACGGGAGGCAGGAGUGGCGAAUAUUGGAAAAUGGGCGAAAGCAUGAUCCAGCAAUGCCGCGUGAGUGAUGAAGGCCUUAGGGUUGUAAAGCUCUUUUACCCGGGAUGAUAAUGACAGUACCGGGAGAAUAAGCUCCGGCUAACUCCGUG